UCUCUCGCCCCCCUCUCUCUCUCUUUGAGCUUACGAAUCACGGUAUCUGCAUGACAAGAGAGGUUCUGGCAUGAUUCAGUAUUUUAUCUUUAAUUUGACUGCGGGUCGGCGGCGGCGGUAAGACCCGUUUUGGCGAGGACACAAAUUGAGCUUCCUGAUUGAGUGAGUCUGACGGGCCGCGGGGGGACGCCAGGAGGGAUGCAGGUGUGGGUGGAGAAAGGGAGGGAGGGAGCGCGUCUAGGGCAAGUUGAGGUGGAGCGAGGGAGGGAGGGUUGAAAGAGAAAAGGUGGCGCAAGGGACGGAGGGAGGGAGGGCGUCAGGGCAAGUGGAGGUGGAAGAAGGAAGAGCAGGUGGAGCAAGAGAGGGAGGAAGGGCGUGAGGGCAAGUUGGGGUGGAGCAAAGGAAGGAAGGGAUGGGGGAGAGGUGGAGCAAGGGACGGAGGGAGAGAAGUAGAGCAAGGGAGGGAAGAAAGGAGGGCAGGUGGAGUAGGGGAAGUGGGAGAGGUGGAGGAAGGGAGGGAGGUAGCGGGCUGGUGGUAAGCUUGAAAAAUGGCAGCGUGGAAGGGAAUGCAUGUUCGAGUUCGUGACGCGGCGGGGAAAUGGAAAAAGUAUACAGAAGAGUGAAUGGAAGAAAGGAAGGGAGGAAGGGACUGAAGUAAUUCAAGAUAGUAGAGGUUUUGGAUUGUUUAAUUGUCUUGUCUUAUGGGAAAGGAACGAAUAUUGGAAAAAGUAUACAGAAGAGUGAAAGGAAGGGAGGAAGGGACUGUAGUAAUUCAAGAUAGUAGAGGUUUUGGAUUUUCUGAUUGUUUUGUCUUAUGGGAAAGGAACGAACAUGUAAAAAAAAUAGAAAAAGUAUACAGAAAAGUGAGUGGAAGAAAGUAAGGAAGGGAGGGACUGUAGUAAUUCAAGAUAGUAGAGGUUUUGGAUUUUUUGAUAGUUUUGUCUUAUGGGAAAUGAAAGAAAAUUGUAAAAAAAAAGGAAAAACACGAAACUAAAAAGAAAGAUGGAAAGAAGGAAAAGGGUAAAAGUAAGGGUUUAGAAUUAUAGAGAAAAAAAUAAAUUAAUGUGUUGAAUAGGAAAAAAAAUAGGAAAAGCGAAACUAUAAAGAAAGAUGAAGAGAAGGAAAAGAAAAUAAAGUCGUAUGUUGAGGAAAAUGAAUUAAUCGGUAAAAAUAAAUAAAAAGGAAGAUGAAGAGAGGGAGAAAGAUGAAAGUAGAGUUUGAAAAUGAGGAAAAAAGGCAUGAAUGUGUAAAAAGAAAACAAAAGAAAAAAUAACGAAACUAAAAAAGAUGAAAAGAAAAAGGUAAAGAGAUGAAAGUAAGAGUUAAGAA